rnacentral:rRNA from 1 species
GUGUCAGCAGCCGCGCGGUAAUACGAAGGGACCUAGCGUAGUUCGGAAUUACUGGGCUUAAAGAGUUCGUAGGUGGUUGAAAUAGUUGGUGGUGAAAUCCCAGAGCUUAACUCUGGAACUGCCAUCAAAACUUUUCAGCUAGAGUAUGAUAGAGGAAAGCAGAAUUUCUAGUGUAGAGGUGAAAUUCGUAGAUAUUAGAAAGAAUACCAAUUGCGAAGGCAGCUUUCUGGAUCAUUACUGACACUGAGGAACGAAAGCAUGGGUAGCGAAGAGGAUUAGAUACCCUCGUAGUCCAUGCCGUAAACGAUGUGUGUUAGACGUUGGAAAUUUAUUUUCAGUGUCGCAGCGAAAGCGAUAAACACACCGCCUGGGGAGUACGACCGCAAGGUUAAAACUCAAAUGAAUUGACGGGGACCCGCACAAGUAGUGGAGCAUGUGGUUUAAUUCGAAGAUACGCGCAGAACCUUACCAACACUUGACAUGUUCGUCGCGACUUUAAGAGAUUAAAGUUUUCGGUUCGGCCGGACGAAACACAGGUGCUGCAUGGCUGUCGUCAGCUCGUGUCGUGAGAUGUUGGGUUAAGUCCCGCAACGAGCGCAACCCUCACUUUUAGUUGCCAUCAUUAAGUUGGGCACUCUGAAAGAACUGCCAGUGAUAAGCUGGAGGAAGGUGGGGAUGACGUCAAGUCCUCAUGGCCCUUACGUGUUGGGCUACACACGUGCUACAAUGGUAUCUACAACAGGAAGCAAGACGGCGACGUUAAGCAAAUCCUUAAAAGAUACCUCAGUUCGGAUUGCACUCUGCAACUCGAGUGCAUGAAGCUGGAAUUACUAGUAAUCGUGGAUCAGCGUGCCACGGUGAAUGCGUUCCCGGGUCUUGUACACACCGCCCGUC